UAAGGAAUAUUGGUCAAUGGACGCAAGUCUGAACCAGCCAUGCCGCGUGGAGGAUGAAGGUCCUCUGGAUUGUAAACUUCUUUUAUCUGGGACGAAACACUUCUUUUCUAAGAGGCCUGACGGUACCAGAUGAAUAAGCACCGGCUAACUCCGUGCCAGCAGCCGCGGUAAUACGGAGGGUGCAAGCGUUAUCCGGAUUCACUGGGUUUAACGGGUGCGUAGGUGGGUAUGUAAGUCAGUGGUGAAAUCCCCGAGCUUAACUUGGGAACUGCCAUUGAUACUAUAUAUCUUGAAUACCGUAGAGGUAAGCGGAAUAUGUCAUGUAGCGGUGAAAUGCUUAGAUAUGACAUGGAACACCAAUUGCGAAGGCAGCUUACUAUGCGGUGAUUGACACUGAGGCACGAAAGCUUGGGUAGCAAACA
rnacentral:rRNA from 1 species